rnacentral:lncRNA from 12 species
AUGAAGAAACAAACUCCUCUACAUCUUGGAUGGCCUGAGGGAAAUGUGAACCUACGACCUCCAGGUGUCAAGCAUGCGAGUCAGUGGAAUAAAGAGCGGCUUUCAGCCUGUUCGUUAGUGGAAUUGCCAUUUGAUAUCCAAGUGUCUACCACAACAUCCUACAGUAACUGACAAACAACUUCUUUACACACCACUUUUCUCUCUCUUAAAAUCUGCUCCUAUUCAAGUCCAAGUAUUAUUCUAACAGACUUCACUUGUUCCAAUCAAGAUUUGAUGAACAUUAGAGAUAACAACAGACUUUGUGCAGCAAUUGUUAUACAUCGAUAGAACAAUAUUGUUGAUUUAAAAUGUAUCAUUUAUACUUCCUGAUGUUAUUGCUAACCAGCAGGCUCUUAGCUAACAAGUUAACAAGUAGCUCAUUAGGAGCCAAAAUAGCUUAUUUUUUUUUAUUUUUAUUUUUUUUUUUUUUAAAUUUAUUUAGCAUUCAUUAUUGUACUCUAAAAAUAUCCUGGUAAAUUUGAGACUGCUGUGCUAGAAAUUCACUAUAAAAUUAUGGUAACAAUGUUUCAGGUAUUAUGGGAUGGCAUAUUGGUGCCUUAUUUAAUCAAACUUAGCCUAUUUCAUCAAGUUAUAAUGACAAAAUGUUAAUACCUAUUGACUUGAACUACUGUACCUUUAAAAAAUAUAUAUAUUUUUUUAAUUUAUUUUUUUAUUAAAAUUACAUAGUUUCCUGAAACUGUACUAAAGAAAAGGGUAUUUCUGAGGUGACCUGGGUGAGAUCUAAAGGUAAAUUAACUUUGAAUAGUUAAACACAUGGGUUGAGGUAUGGAAUGGUGCAAAUAACCCUUCAUGGAAAUUAUUUGGGCCAUAUGUGUUAUGUAGAUAUGAACUUACUCACCCUUUGAAAGUCAUGUCUGGAGGAUACACUCAGUGCCCUCAAUGACCUGCACUUGUAGAGAUUCUUGAUUGUGUUGCUUCCUUUAAACUAACUUGCAACUGUAACAGAUACAUUAGAUAAUGGACUUUAACAUUUUAACAUAUUAACCUUUAAUUCUUCUCCAUGACUUAGCUAGUUUAUGAACAAGGCUAAUUUUAAUUUAUGUUAGAGAAGUCUGUUUUAAUCUCGACCAUCAUAAAUAGAAAGAAUGUUUUAAUCCAAAGCAUUACUAGAACUAGUUAAUGCUGCAGAAUUUAUGUUGUAAGUGUAAUAAUGUUAAAAUGUUAAUUGCAUUAAUGUUAAAAUAUGCUUGUAGUUGAAAAUGUUGUGAUAUAUUGAGUUUCUUGAUAUGGCAACAUCUGUCUACAAUCACUAACAAUCAUUACUUAUUUAUUAAAGGAAUAGUUCACCCAGAAAUGAACAUUUGCUGAAAAUGUACUCUUUUUCAGGCCAUGUGAGAUGAGCUUAGUUUUCUGGUCAUUUGGAGAAAUUUGGGUGCCAUCAUCAGAAUGAUUUUCCAAACAGCUGAUAAAAACAUCACAAUAAUCCACAUGACUCCAGUCCAUCAAUUAAUUUAUUUUGAAGUGAAAAGCUGCAUGUCUGUAAUAAAAAAUCCACAUUGAAGGCAUUUUUAACUUCAAACAAGCUUAAAUUAGUCCUCUAUCCAUAAUAGUGAGUUACGUUGUCUCCUCUGAAUCAGGAGAGAAAAAUAUACAGAUCAAGUACUGUUUGAAAGUGAAAACGGUCUGAAACAGUUCUAAACAAAAAAGCCAGUGUACUUUCAUGCAGGGAUGGGCAGUAAUUCAGAUACAUGUAUUUAAAAUACAAAAUACUACUUUGUAUUUAAAAACCUUUGGAAAAAAUCUAAUGUAUUUUGUAUUUAAAUACAUUUAAGAUUAGUAUUUUUGUAUUUUCAAAAUACAUAAAAUACUUUGUGCCAGUCAACCUCUUUAUUAGGGUGCUGAUUUCAUUCAUCAACUAGUUCAGACAUGCACCCUCCCUCCAACAUUCAUCACGUGAGCUGCAGCUGUACAGCUCCAUCCAGCAUUGGGUAAGCAACUUUUCUGGAAUAAGCUAAGGUGAACUGUACUUGUUGAUUAAUGUUAAAAUAAUGCAUCAUUCAGAUGUGUCUUCAGUUAACAUGAAAGAAGAAAAGAGCACAGAACAGUGUUAGCCAAUCAGUUUCGAUAGUUAAUCGAUUGUUGUUUUUUAUUAACUAGCUUAUCAAAUGUGUUUAAAGCAUUACUGCAUGUUAGGCCUGGGUGAUAUGAUGAUACAUAUGGUGGCAAUGAUAUAAAGAGUGAAUCGGCUGAACUUUUUCAACCUUUUUUUUUUGUAGUUUUGUAUUUCCUAAGAGUCCUGAGUAAGUUUUCAGCAACUUUUAAUUUUUGCAUGAACUAUUCCUUUGAUUGCAUUAAUGUUGAAAUAUGCUUGUAACUUGAUCAGGUUGUGAUAUACUGGCUGUUUGUUAAUAUGGUAAUGUCUACAAUUCACUACCUUCCAAACUUUCAGGCGACUUGUUCUUCUAUAGCAGCUUACCCAGGACAGAACAUUCUGUUCAUUGUUAUACAGGCUCUGACCACAGGAACAAAGACUUUUGUACACAGUGUAUUUUGGUGUUAAUGAAGGCCUUUAUAGAAAAGAAAGGACCGUGAAUCAUGAGUUCGGUGUACAGUUACCCGUCAGUGAGUCAACAUUAAUGAGAGGAGAGGGUUAUAUUCCUAUGGAUGGAUAAUCCAUAAAACUGGCAUGAGUGUUGACUGCCUGGAUUGGAGAGGAAGAUCUGAUGUCUGGCUGGAGGCAAGGUGGAUACAUUGUUCUCGUACAGCUGCCGGUGCCAGCUCAUUACUAUAGCACACUAGUUAAUGGGUUGUAUAAGAGGUGGAGGAUCAUCUUGAUUUCUGACAGAUUAAAGUAACUGAUCAAUGAUUUCUUGGAAGUCUUUGGGGGUGGAGGG